CAGCCCUUUGUCGCUAAGA
rnacentral:snRNA from 1 species